rnacentral:rRNA from 1 species
GUGAGGAAUAUUGGUCAAUGGGCGGGAGCCUGAACCAGCCAAGUCGCGUGAAGGAAGAAGGAUCUAUGGUUCGUAAACUUCUUUUGCAGGGGAAUAAAGUGCGGGACGUGUCCUGUUUUGUAUGUACCCUGAGAAUAAGGAUCGGCUAACUCCGUGCCAGCAGCCGCGGUAAUACGGAGGAUCCGAGCGUUAUCCGGAUUUAUUGGGUUUAAAGGGUGCGUAGGUGGUUUGAUAAGUCAGCGGUGAAAGUUUGCAGCUUAACUGUAAAAAUGCCGUUGAAACUGUCGGACUUGAGUGUAAAUGAGGUAGGCGGAAUGCGUGGUGUAGCGGUGAAAUGCAUAGAUAUCACGCAGAACUCCGAUUGCGAAGGCAGCUUACUAAGCUACAACUGACACUGAAGCACGAAAGCGUGGGGAUCAAACAGGAUUAGAUACCCUAGUAGUCC